GACAGAAUUAUUCACCCAAAUCUGUCAUCAUAGCAAGUCACUCCCAAGAAUAUGGCAUCAGGUAGUAUGGCGGCUCAGCGAUAAAGAAUCUGCCUUCUACUACAGGAGCCAUGAGCUCAGUCCCUGGGUUGGGAAGUUCCUCUAGAGAAGGAAGUAGUAUUCUUGCCUGGAAAAUUCCAUGGAUAGAGUAACCUGGCAGGCUACAGUCCACGGGGUUGCAAAGAGUUGGACACGACUGAGCAUGAGCAUGAGUGAGUGAGUAUAUAUAACAAAUACCCUGAUCUUAUACCACCAUCCUCGGGGUUCAUUUCAUAUUAAUAAUUAGUAUAAGAGGAACAACAACUACAACUAACACUCAUGUGCUUAAGUAUCAAGGCUAAUCUUAUACUUGGCACAUGCUAUCUCAUUUAACGUUCAUUUACCUGCACUUGCAGAUUCGGUAACUAAAGCUGAAAAAUGACGUGCCUUAGCAAAAAUCAUUUAGCUAAUAAAUGGUGGAGCUAGAAAGUAAC
ensembl:lncRNA